ACCACUUUCCUCUUCGCCGCUGGAAUAUUUUAACAAAAUGUCUUUCUCUGGAUUUGUUCGCGACCUUUCUCUCUGCGCUUCUCACAGUUCUCAGAGGAGUGGGAGAGGCGGCGGCGACACCAAAUGCAACCCGAGCUCCCAGAUCCGGCUACUGGCACUAACCCUAGCAGCAUUCCCCCCUCAAUGCCUCCUAGGGCUCCCAGAUCUAUGCUUCUCACAGUUCUCUUGGUCAGAAUCACUAAGUUUAUGAAAUCAACUCUACGUGGUGGAGCAAUACUUGUGCUUGUUUGUGUUAUAUCUUCCUGCAAUUUUGUGUGAAGUGCUUGGUAUCCCCAAGUCGAUAUCUUUGAAAUCCUUUAGUAUUAUCCUUCUGUUAGGUCAAACCACCAAAGUGCAAAGGAGCAGAGAUGGGUUUGUAACGAGCUUGGCCUGGUAACAAUCCAUUUUAGACAACAAGACUGCUUCCUAGAUUCCUAAUUCUGCCAGCUAUAGGUUUCUUAUCUGGGCUCAAAAGCAAUGGCUUCCAGCAAAGAUGAUGUUGAUCAACCUACUGAUUCCUAUUCUCUACAAGUGUUUUCUUCCCAGUUUUCUAUGAUUUGAGGGUUUUGAUUUCUUUUUUUUUGGUGCGUGUGCGUGUGCUAAACAAUAUUUCUACAGACUUAAGAAUCCUUACAAGGAUCCUGAUGAUGGUCGCCAGCGGUUUCUUCUUGAGUUGGAGUUUGUUCAAUGCCUUGCCAAUCCAACUUAUAUC